rnacentral:rRNA from 1 species
ACGCUCGACACCUACGGGGGCAGCAGUAGGGAAUUUUCGUCAAUGGGGGAAACCCUGAACGAGCAAUGCCGCGUGAGUGAAGAAGGUCUUCGGAUCGUAAAGCUCUGUUGUAAGUGAAGAACGGCUCAUAGAGGAAAUGCUAUGGGAGUGACGGUAGCUUACCAGAAAGCCACGGCUAACUACGUGCCGGCAGCCGCGGUAAUCUGAGCGGGCUGGCAAGGC